CUAGCGACUUCAGAGUUGAUCCUGGCUCAGGAUGAACGCUAGCUACAGGCUUAACACAUGCAAGUCGAGGGCAGCACAGUGUAGCAAUACAUGGGUGGCGACCGGCGCACGGGUGCGUAACGCGUAUCCAACUUUCCCGUUACUCAGGGAUAGCCUUCCGAAAGGGAGAUUAAUACCUGAUGGUGUUUGAAGUUCGCAUGUUCUUCAAACUAAAGAUUUAUCGGUAACGGAUAGGGAUGCGUGACAUUAGAUAGUAGGCGGGGUAACGGCCCACCUAGUCUACGAUGUCUAGGGGUUCUGAGAGGAAGGUCCCCCACACUGGAACUGAGACACGGUCCAG
rnacentral:rRNA from 1 species